GCCUCGGUGGUGCAGUGGUAGCACGCGCCCCUUGAGUGAAUGAAACGUGGGUUCAACUCUAGUCUGAGGUC